AUUGAACGCUGGCGGCAGGCCUAACACAUGCAAGUCGAACGAGUGGCGGACGGGUGAGUAAUUUCUGGGAAACUGCCUGAUGGAGGGGGAUAACUACUGGAAACGGUAGCUAAUACCGCAUACCAUCAGAUGUGCCCAGAUGGGAUUCGCUAGUUGGUGGGGUAACGGCUCACCAAGGCGACGAUCCCUAGCUGGUCUGAGAGGAUGACCAGCAAAACUGGAAGUGGGACACGGUCCAGACUCCUACGGGGGGCAGCGGUGGGGAAUAUUGCAAAAUGGGCGCAAGCCUGAUGCAGCCAUGCCGCGUGUAUGAAGAGGGCCUUCGGGUUGUAAAGUACUUUCAGCGGGGAGGCGUUACCCGCAGAAGAAGCACCGGCUAACUCCGUGCAAGCCGCGCGGUAAUUC
rnacentral:rRNA from 1 species